CAGUGGAAAGCCAAAUGAGAGGCCUUUAACUGUUAAUUAAAUUAUUGUAAUUAUGAUUACUUCACUGG
rnacentral:tRNA from 1 species